rnacentral:rRNA from 1 species
CAUGUCCUUUUGAAUAUAAUUUAAGGUCUAAUCUGCUCAAUGAAAAUUUAAAUUGCCGCGGUAUUUUGACCGUGCGAAGGUAGCAUAAUAAUUAGUUUUUUUAUUGAAAGCUGGAAUGAAUGAUUGGACGAGAAAACUGCUGUCUCUGGAUGAUUUUUUUUUGAAUUUUACUUUUAAGUUAAAAGGCUUAAAUUUUUUUUAAAGACGAGAAGACCCUAUAGAGUUUAAUAUUAAACUGUUAUUUUAUUCUUUUGGUUAUUGUAAGAUAAGAUUAUUUUUAUUAUUUAGUUGGGGUGACUGGAAGAUUAAUUAAACUCUUUUUUGUGUAAUCACUGAUUUGUGAAUGUUUAAUCUAGAUUUACUAAAUUUAGAAUAAAUUACCUUAGGGAUAACAGCGUAAUUUCUUUUUAGAGUUCUUAUUGAAAAAGAAGUUUGCGACCUCGAUGUUGGAUUAAAAUUAAUUUUUGGUGUAGAAGCUAAAAUAUUAGGUCUGUUCGACCUUUAAAAUUUUACAUGAUCUGAGU